rnacentral:lncRNA from 1 species
AGCACCUGCGGCAUAUGGAAGUUUCCAGGCUAGGGGUCAAAUUGGAGCUGUAACUGUCGGCCUUUACCACAGCCACGGCAACGUGGGGUCUGGGCUGCAUCUACAACCUACACCACAGCUCACAUCAACGCUGGCCCCUUAACCCGCUGCGAGGCCAGGGAUAGAACCUGCAUCCUCACGGAUACUCGUGGGGCUCGUUUCUGCUAAGCCACAGUGGGAACGCCUCUUAUGCGUGACUUUUGGCCAAAGGGACCGGCUCUACCAAAAACAGGGACUGAAGCAUACCCAGGUGACUAUCUGGCUCACCUGAUUCUCUUCCCAGUGGGGCUUUGAAACAUGGGGACAAACUUUAGACACAGAGAAUGGAGCCAUUGCCUCUGUCGGGAUGGGAGAAAUUCACAGAUGUCUUGACAGCAGCUACCUCGCGACACUGAGUGGUAGCGGACCACUGGAAAAACUCUGGGUAAGAAAGACUAUCAAAGGAGCAUCAGGUCCAGAUUGCAAAUUGCUUUAGCAGCUAAAACAGGCAGAAAGAUAGAGCAACUCACGCUAAUCCAGGGGGUUUAUGCUUCGGGCUGGCUGCCUCUGACGCCCACCCUUGACCCAGCCCAUUCAUCAGUAUUUUGAUAAGCAGAUUCCCCUGCAGAGCUUCUUAAUCUGGGUUCCCAGAGGAGUCUUGCAGAGAUUAAUGAGAGCCCUGCCGCUGCCUGCCAGCUCUUGAGGGUGGGGCAGUUAAAUCACAAAAGGGAAGGGACUGGUCGCGGAUGCCCAAACUCUCCCAUCACUGGACCUGACGCCUCUAGGGGUCAACUCAGUAUCUUUUCAACUUAAAUACCUGGAUCUGUUUUUAUUUUUAUUUUUAAUCCACUUUCUCCUUGGUAUCUAGGGAAAUUAAAGCCCUGGCUCACAUCUUCCUUAAGGCCAGCUUUUAGCCAGAGCCAUGACAGCAUCUGGAGCUCAACAAAGAUUAGGGGCAGAGGCAGGCAGGAAUGCCAGGGACAGAGAGGAAAUCCAGUGCUACCAAGGGCACCACCAAUGUGCUGUACCCGCCAUGCAGCCCUCCCACCAAAUACCCUCUGGCUACAGUCCCCUGACAGUGGUGGGAGGGGAAGCUGGGGCUGCAACCCCAAAGCCUGAGCCCUCACAGAAGUGCAGCCCCUAAGACAAAAAAAAAAAAAAAAAAGGGAGUUCCCCUCGUGGGGCAGUGGUUAACGAAUCCGACUAGGAACCGUGAGGUUGCGGGUUUGGUCCUUGCCCUUGCUCAGUGGGUUAACGAUCCGGCGUUGCCAUGAGCUGUGGUGUAGGUUGCAGACGCGGCUCAGAUCCCGCGCUGCUGUGGCUCUGGCGUAGGCCGGUGGCUACAGCUCCGAUUCCACCCCUAGCCUGGGAACUUCCAUAUGCCACGGGAGUGGCCCAAGAAAUAGCAAAAAAAGACAAAAAAAAAAAAAAGAAGGCUGGUCUCUGCUCUUGCAAUGCCAGAUCCUCAACCCACAGUGCCAAGCCAGGGGUGGAACCCGCAUCUCAGCAUUCCCAAGAGGCUGCCGAUCCCACUGCACCACAGCGGGAACUCUGCAGGCUGGGUUCCCUGUGAGACGUGAUCUGGGGAAAUUUUCUGGGCUGUCCUCUGGAGAGAUGGGACUUAUUUUGAAGUAAGAUGUGAUGAGGGAACCCUAGAUUUGAGUUCAGUUUGUGAAUUAUUGGGGCGGGGGGGUAAAAUCAGGCUUACCGAGCUUGUAGGACCUUGCAUGUGCUGGAAGAAAAAGUCUUACAAAUUCCAAGUGACAGGUAUGGCAAGAAGGAGGAGGACGAGCCGGGACAGCAGCUUCAACUCUGGCUGCUCCCGUGCUGACAUGUGUCCACUGAACGCAGCCUCAGGACUUGGGGGAAAAAGACCGUCACGCGGAGCUCCGAGCUCACGAGCAGGUCUAAAGGGACCGGCAAGUCAACUAACAAAGGCGUCGGGGGUGGGAACCCCCCUGGGUCUUCCCUCGCCCCUCCUGUGACCACGGCUGGCAUCUCAGGCCCGCUGUCCGUGAACAGACAGGGAAAUAGCUAACUACCCAGCUGAGUCCACGUUCAGCCCCAGAGGAAGGUCGACGGCUGACUGUCUAGGAGUCUGCGGUCUCACUGACACCAGCAGCUCUCAGAGUGUGGAGCACAGCUGCCCUCCGUCUAUGGCUGUGGACUGGGGGGGGGGACAAACAUGUGCUGGGAGGGGGGCCGUCCCAGCCCCUCCGGCCAGGCUCCUCAGAGGCUGGCGCAUCACCCAGCCCCCAGGUGGGGGCAUCAUGGUGGAGACCACGGCUGCCCCUGCAUCAGCUGUCCUGGUUCAGCAGACCUUCCUUCUUUAGCCAGACCUGGAAGCCAAAGAGGUCAGGCCAACCUGCAGCUCGGGGUCCAGCCCAGACGGGCGGCUACCUGGCCAGCCUCCUGGCCUCUGUAUGCGGCGCAGCCUGCUCUGGAUGGUAGGCUCCCUGCCCAGGAUUCGCAGUGAACUUGGCUGCUCCCUGCGGGAUUUACUGGGUCUGGACCUGCCCGCGGUAGAAGGUCAAGUGUCAGUUCAACGAGGGAGCCCCUGUCCCCCUUCGUCUU